rnacentral:rRNA from 1 species
UUGUGGGUGACCUCGGAAGGAUCAUUAACACUAAUCCAAUCUUUUAAACCAAGCCUUAAGUUGUAACAAUGGUGCAAGCUAGCGAAAGCAGGCAUGCUACUCUUGCUACAUCUACCAAAACUAAUCAUACAAAGAAGCCUAACUAAGCUCUUUAAUAAAAACCAAAUUCUCAACGUUGGAUAUCUUGGUUCCCAUAACGAUGAAGAACGCAGCGAAGUGCGAUAAGCAGUGCGAAUUGCAGAACCGUGAGUCAUCAGAUUUUUGAACGCAACUGGCGCCAGCUGGCUCCCCAGCUGGCAUGUUUGUUUCAGUGUCUCGUUUUCUCCUCACCCAAAUCAUAAUGCUUGAGAUACCCUUCUCUUGCUAAGUAUGAAAGCACUCUGCACUCUGCAGGCAGCCUUGACUUGUCAAGGGUUGCACUCAAUGCAGCAGUCACAUUUCUAAUGUGAACUCAUUGAGAGUAGAGGCAGCUCAGCUAGUCUGAAAGUGCUUAGUCAAUCAAACUCUACUUGUAUCUGAAAUCAAGCAGGACCACCCGCUGAACUUA